rnacentral:rRNA from 1 species
UACGGAGGAUCCAAGCGUUAUCCGGAAUCAUUGGGUUUAAAGGGUCCGUAGGCGGGUUAUUAAGUCAGUGGUGAAAGUUUUCGGCUUAACCGAAAAAUUGCCAUUGAUACUGGUAGUCUUGAAUUAUUGUGAAGUAACUAGAAUAUGUAGUGUAGCGGUGAAAUGCUUAGAUAUUACAUGGAAUACCAAUUGCGAAGGCA